rnacentral:rRNA from 1 species
CCUACGGGAGGCAGCAGUGGGGAAUUUUGGACAAUGGGCGCAAGCCUGAUCCAGCAAUGCCGCGUGAGUGAAGAAGGCCUUCGGGUUGUAAAGCUCUUUUGUCAGGGAAGAAACGGUGGGGGCUAAUAUCCUCCACUAAUGACGGUACCUGAAGAAUAAGCACCGGCUAACUACGUGCCAGCAGCCGCGGUAAUACGUAGGGUGCAAGCGUUAAUCGGAAUUACUGGGCGUAAAGCGUGCGCAGGCGGUUUUGUAAGUUUGUCGUGAAAUCCCCGGGCUCAACCUGGGAAUGGCGAUGAAGACUGCAAGGCUAGAAUCUGGCAGAGGGGGGUAGAAUUCCACGUGUAGCAGUGAAAUGCGUAGAGAUGUGGAGGAACACCGAUGGCGAAGGCAGCCCCCUGGGUCAAGAUUGACGCUCAUGCACGAAAGCGUGGGGAGCAAACAGGAUUAGAUACCCUGGUAGUCCACGCCCUAAACGAUGUCUACUAGUUGUCGGGUUUUAAUUAACUUGGUAACGCAGCUAACGCGUGAAGUAGACCGCCUGGGGAGUACGGUCGCAAGAUUAAAAACUCAAAUGAAGUAGAGCGUGAGACGNGCGACGACGACGACGAGGGAGGAGG